rnacentral:rRNA from 1 species
GACGUAGGGCGCGAGCGUUGUCCGGAUUUAUUGGGCGUAAAGAGCUCGUAGGCGGCUUGUUGCGUCGGCUGUGAAAAACCCGCAGCUCAACUGUGGGCUUGCAGCCGAUACGGGCAGGCUUGAGUUCGGUAGGGGAGACUGGAAUUCCUGGUGUAGCGGUGAAAUGCGCAGAUAUCAGGAGGAAUACCGAUGGCGAAGGCAGGUCCCUGGGCCAAUACUGACGCUCAUGCACGAAAGCGUGGGGAGCAAACAGG